rnacentral:rRNA from 1 species
GGAAUAUUGGGCAAUGGGCGAAAGCCUGACCCAGCAACGCCGCGUGAGUGAAGAAGGCCUUCGGGUUGUAAAGCUCUGUUAUAGGGGACGAAGGAAGUGACGGUACCCUAUAAGGAAGCCCCGGCUAACUACGUGCCAGCAGCCGCGGUAAUACGUAGGGGGCAAGCGUUGUCCGGAAUGAUUGGGCGUAAAGGGCGCGUAGGCGGCCCGGUAAGUCUGGAGUGAAAGUCCUGCUUUUAAGGUGGGAAUUGCUUUGGAUACUGUCGGGCUUGAGUGCAGGAGAGGUAAGUGGAAUUCCCAGUGUAGCGGUGAAAUGCGUAGAGAUUGGGAGGAACACCAGUGGCGAAGGCGACUUACUGGACUGUAACUGACGCUGAGGCUCGAAAGCAUGGGUAGCGAACA